GAUGAACGCUGGCGGCGUGCCUAAUACAUGCAAGUCGAGCGAAUGGAUUAAGAGCUUGCUCUUAUGAAGUUAGCGGCGAACGGGUGAGUAACACGUGGGUAACCUGCCCAGAAGACUGGGAUAACUCCGGGAAACCGGGGCUAAUACCGGAUAACAUUUUGAACCGCAUGGUUCGAAAUUGAAAGGCGGCUUCGGCUGUCACUUAUGGAUGGACCCGCGUCGCAUUAGCUAGUUGGUGAGGUAACGGCUCACCAAGGCAACGAUGCGUAGCCGACCUGGGAGGGUGAUCGGCCACACUGGGACUGAGACACGGCCCAGACUCCUACGGGAGGCAGCAGUAGGGAAUCUUCCGCAAUGGACGAAAGUCUGACGGAGCAACGCCGCGUGAGUGAUGAAGGCUUUCGGGUCGUAAAACUCUGUUGUUAGGGAAGAACAAGUGCUAGUUGAAUAAGCUGGCACCUUGACGGUACCUAACCAGAAAGCCACGGCUAACUACGUGCCAGCCGCCGCGGUAA
rnacentral:rRNA from 1 species